rnacentral:sRNA from 2 species
UCACCCGUCAUCGGGGAGUAGCUGCCCUGCAACUUGCAGGGGUUUGCGUCAACAUACUGGGCCCACACGGCCCUGGCGCCGACAGCCUCUGGCCUGGCAAGACCUUUGACCACAAUGCCUCCGGUAGGGCCGGGGAUGCACUGUGGUCUUUCAUUGGUCUGGCCCUCAGG